UACGUAGGGAGCAAGCGUUGUCCGGAAUCAUUGGGCGUAAAGCGCGCGUAGGCGGCCUCAUAAGUCCGUUGUGAAAGUCCAGGGCUCAACCCUGGGAUGCCGGUGGAUACUGUCGGGCUCGAGUCCGGAAGAGGAGUGUGGAAUUCCUGGUGUAGCGGUGAAAUGCGCAGAUAUCAGGAGGAACACCAAUGGCGAAGGCAGCACUCUGGGACGUGACUGACGCUGAGACGCGAAAGCGUGGGGAGCAAACAGG
rnacentral:rRNA from 1 species